AGCGAACGCUGGCGGCAGGCCUAACACAUGCAAGUCGAACGAACUCUUCGGAGUUAGUGGCGGACGGGUGAGUAACACGUGGGAACGUGCCUUUUGGUUCGGAAUAACUCAGGGAAACUUGUGCUAAUACCGAAUGUGCCCUUCGGGGGAAAGUUUUAUCGCCAUUAGAGCGGCCCGCGUCUGAUUAGCUAGUUGGUGAGGUAACGGCUCACCAAGGCGACGAUCAGUAGCUGGUCUGAGAGGAUGACCAGCCACACUGGGACUGAGACACGGCCCAGACUCCUACGGGAGGCAGCAGUGGGGAAUCUUGCGCAAUGGGCGAAAGCCUGACGCAGCCAUGCCGCGUGAAUGAUGAAGGUCUUAGGAUUGUAAAAUUCUUUCACCGGGGACGAUAAUGACGGUACCCGGAGAAGAAGCCCCGGCUAACUUCGUG
rnacentral:rRNA from 1 species